rnacentral:rRNA from 1 species
GAUGAACGCUGGCGGCGUGCCUAAUACAUGCAAGUCGAGCGAACAGACGAGGAGCUUGCUCCUCUAACGUUAGCGGCGGACGGGUGAGUAACACGUGGAUAACCUACCUAUAAGACUGGGAUAACUUCGGGAAACCGGAGCUAAUACCGGAUAAUAUAUUGAACCGCAUGGUUCAAUAGUGAAAGACGGUUUUGCUGUCACUUAUAGAUGGAUCCGCGCCGCAUUAGCUAGUUGGUAAGGUAACAGCUUACCAAGGCAACGAUGCGUAGCCGACCUGAGAGGGUGAUCGGCCACACUGGAACUGAGACACGGUCCAGACUCCUACGGGAGGCAGCAGUAGGGAAUCUUCCGCAAUGGGCGAAAGACUGACGGAGCAACGCCGCGUGAGUGAUGAAGGUCUUCGGAUCGUAAAACUCUGUUAUUAGGGAAGAACAAAUGUGUAAGUAACUAUGCACGUCUUGACGGUACCUAAUCAGAAAGCCACGGCUAACUACGUG